UGGAUGAGACCAGAAUGGUGCAGCAACAAGAGUCACUUUUUUUGCUACAUGCAUGCGGUCCUUCAAAAUAAAGUACCGUCUUCAUCGAAAAACCACUCACAACUAGCGCAUUCAUCUGCGUGCUAUAGCUCCGAAUGCCGUACGAGAACAAUCUGCCCCACGACCGACUCCCCUAUUCACCAUGUCCCUUCGACUGGACGUCAAGCCGAGAACCGGCGCCCCGAAACCCGCCGGCUGUCCGACCCGCUGACAUCCCCCGGCCCUCGGCGUUGUUGUGCUGACAGCGAGGGCGCAUGAAUAUUUAUGGCGCUCCCUGACGAGCAUGUGGACGGACAUGCAUGUUUAUACAUCUGCACCUCACUGCUGGGGUUGGAUGGGUUUUUUAAAAGCUGUGUUAAUCCACUGAUGUGUUUAUGUUUGGACUGCAAAAAUAAAAAUGUAUAUU